GCAGUAGUUUAUCGCAUUCAGCGUUGCGCGUACCACGUUGGCAUCGUACAGUUCAGGGCUUGAAAAGCUCAAAGUCAAAGAAAAAGGAAUAGGAGAAAAACGGGGAAAAUAAGCACAAUCACUCAGUGAGAUAUUCCAGCAGGAGGCUGUAGAUUACGACGUUGGCAUCCUACAGUUCAGGGUUUGAAAACCUCAAAGACAAAGAAAGAAGAAUAGGAGAAAAAGAGGAAAAUAAGAACAAUCACUCAUUGAGAUAUUCCAGCAGUUGAGUUCCCAUUCGGAAUUUCUCUGGAGCCCUCAGCUUCGUACAGUUCUAGGCUUGAAAAAACUCAAAACACACCCUGAGAAGAAUAGAAAGUGAAAAAAGAGAAAAGUGAGAAGUGCCACACAGUGAGAUAUUGUGACAGCAAAGUUCCCAGUUGUUGCAGGAAUUCGUGUUGAGCAGAACAACCCUAAAAAGAAACGGAAACUCAGAAUGUCUGAUUUUUUGUGGACUUUUCUUCAUAGAUUUGGCUGUUGUUAUUUGGGGUUGUGUGUAUUUUGUCUUAUCCUGAAUAUUGUGGUCCAAUUAUUAUAAGAAAAUAUAACAAUUUAUCAGAAGAAACAUGUGUGUGUUUUAAGAUUUUAUGUGGUAUUUCUGGUCUUGGGGGGUGCGUUUGUCUUGUCCUGAAAUAUUUUGAUCUAGAUAUUAGAAGAAUAUAUAGGGAUUUAUGAGAAGACUGGUAGGAGAAUAAUAGAGAAUUAGCAAAGGCGGAUGUUUUCGGUUGGAACGGUAGUUUUUCUAGUGGUGUCAUAUGAAAUUGUCUCCCAUAAUUAUGACCCUAGUAUCGAUCUAUUGCAUUUCAAUCUGUUUUAGGGUUAGGGGUGGGGGUAAGGGUAUCUUUUUUU